UUCUGCCAAGGGCAUGGCUGGUUGGCUACGUUCGGGAGGGAUAACCGCUGAAAGCAUCUAAGCGGGAAGCCUGCUUCGAGAUGAGGACUCCCACCUCCUAUGAGAGGGUAAGGCUCCCAGUAGACGACUGGGUUGAUAGGCCGGAUCUGGAAGCACGGUAACGUGUGGAGGUGACCGGUACUAAUAGGCCGAGGGCUUGUCCUC
rnacentral:rRNA from 1 species